AAUCAACGCUGGCGGCGUGCCUAACACAUGCAAGUCGAACGCGAAAGUCCCGCAAGGGAUUAGUAGAGUGGCAAACGGGUGAGUAACACGUGGGUGACCUGCCUUCGAGUGGGGGAUAACGUCCCGAAAGGAACGGCUAAUACCGCAUAAUAUCCUGCCUUUUAAGAGGUGGAGAUCAAAGCCGGGGAUCGCAAGACCUGGCGCUCAAAGAGGGGCCCGCGUCCGAUUAGCUAGUUGGUGGGGUAAGGCUCACCAAGGCAUCGAUCGGUAUCCGGCCUGAGAGGGCGGACGGACACACUGGGACCGAUACACGGGCCCAGACUCCUACGGGAGGCAGCAGUGGGGAAUUGUUCGCAAUGGGCGCAAGCCUGACGACGCAACGCCGCGUGGAGGAUGAA
rnacentral:rRNA from 1 species